AAGUAGGGCGGGACACGUGAAAUCCUGUCUGAAGAUGGGGGGACCAUCCUCCAAGGCUAAAUACUCGUGAUCGACCGAUAGUGAACCAGUACCGUGAGGGAAAGGCGAAAAGAACCCCGGGAGGGGAGUGAAACAGAUCCUGAAACCGCAUGCAUACAAACAGUCGGAGCCCCGCAAGGGGUGACGGCGUACCUUUUGUAUAAUGGGUCAGCGACUUACAUUCAGUGGCAAGCUUAACCGAAUAGGGCAGGCGUAGCGAAAGCGAGUCCGAACAGGGCGUCCAGUCGCUGGGUGUAGACCCGAAACCAGGUGAUCUAUCCAUGGCCAGGUUGAAGGCACGGUAACACGUGCUGGAGGACCGAACCCACUGACGUUGAAAAGUCAGGGGAUGAGCUGUGGAUAGGGGUGAAAGGCUAAACAAACCUGGAAAUAGCUGGUUCUCUCCGAAAACUAUUUAGGUAGUGCCUCGUGUAUCACCUUCGGGGGUAGAGCACUGUCAUGGUUGAUGGGUCCAUUGCGGAUUACGUCGCCAUAGCAAACUCCGAAUACCGAAGAGUGCAAUCACGGGAGACAGACAUCGGGUGCUAACGUCCGGUGUCAAGAGGGAAACAACCCAGACCGCCAGCUAAGGUCCCCAAAUAUGGCUAAGUGGGAAACGAAGUGGGAAGGCUAAAACAGUCAGGAGGUUGGCUUAGAAGCAGCCACCCUUUAAAGAAAGCGUAAUAGCUCACUGAUCGAGUCGUCCUGCGCGGAAGAUGUAACGGGGCUAAGCCAUAUACCGAAGCUGCGGAUGCACAGCAAUGUGCAUGGUAGGAGAGCGUUCCGUAAGCCUGCGAAGGUGCGUUGAAAAGCGUGCUGGAGGUAUCGGAAGUGCGAAUGCUGACAUGAGUAGCGAUAAAGGGGGUGAAAGGCCCCCUCGCCGUAAGCCCAAGGUUUCCUACGCAACGUUCAUCGGCGUAGGGUGAGUCGGCCCCUAAGGCGAGGCAGAAAUGCGUAGCUGAUGGGAAACAGGUCAAUAUUCCUGUACCAGUGUGAAAUGCGAUGGGGGGACGGAUCGCGGAAGGUUGUCCGGGUGUUGGAAGUCCCGGUCGCUGCGUUGGAGAAGGUGCUCUGGCAAAUCCGGGCACGGGAUUCAAGGGCGUGGCGCGAGUCUCUCAGGAGACGAAGCAACUGGAAGGGGUUCCAGGAAAAGCCUCUAAGCUUCAGUUUCACACUGACCGUACCGCAAACCGACACAGGUGGGCGAGAUGAGUAUUCUAAGGCGCUUGAGAGAACUCGGGAGAAGGAACUCGGCAAAUUGGUACCGUA
rnacentral:rRNA from 1 species